rnacentral:rRNA from 1 species
UACGUAGGGGGCAAGCGUUGUCCGGAUUUAUUGGGCGUAAAGAGCGUGUAGGCGGUUUGGUAGGUCCGUUGUGAAAACUCGAGGCUCAACCUCGAGACGCCGAUGGAAACCAUCUGGCUAGAGUCCGGAAGAGGAGAGUGGAAUUCCUGGUGUAGCGGUGAAAUGCGCAGAUAUCAGGAAGAACACCCGUGGCUAAGGCGGCUCUCUAGUACGGUACUGACGCUGAGACGCGAAAGCGUGGGGAGCGAACAGG